rnacentral:rRNA from 1 species
UGCGUAGGCGGCUUUUUAAGUCGGAUGUGAAAUCCCUGAGCUUAACUUAGGAAUUGCAUUCGAUACUGGGAAGCUAGAGUAUGGGAGAGGAUGGUAGAAUUCCAGGUUUAGCGGUGAAAUGCGUAGAGAUCUGGAGGAAUACCGAUGGCGAAGGCAGCCAUCUGGCCUAAUACUGACGCUGAGGCACGAAAGCGUGGGGAGCAAAUAGGAUUAGAUACCCUGGUA